UUAAUGGGUAGGGGCAUUUUAUGAUGAGAAGAAUAAUACGAAGAAGGAUUGAGAAUUUGCAAUGGCUGCAGAGCAAUGGUGUUGUAGAAGUUGUGGUGUUUGAAGCAGUCGUCGUCGUAUUGAGCAGUUAUAUUAUUAUCGGAAAAAUCCGUGGGCCCAGGCGUUGAGAGGGGCAACCCCAUUGGACCAGCUCGUUUCCCCUGUCGUAGGUCCACACCCAAGCCUCUCCAACGCGGCGAGCCACUUAGUAAAAGGGACUCAUCACAAUUACCGUAGAUGUUGGAACACGUCGAUGGCAACGUCGCCCAGCACGCAACGCAUCAACGUUACCGGGAGAACAGGCAGAAUAGUCUAUCAAACUCGAAGCACAAAACUAGCCCAACGCCACCGGUACAGGAAAUCAGAAAAUUUGUAUGAUCUGCGGGCGGUAUCCCACCCGGAUUAAGUGAUUUACCACAAAUUCGAGAAGGAGGGGGAGUGGCUUACCUUAGGUGAAGAAAGGAUCCCUUCCCCACGCUCCGAUUUGGGUCAAGUCCUCCUUUGGCACUCUUUUCAUCAAGAAAAUACGAGAGGAAGAAAUUUGCACAAUUUAUUUACCAACUUUCUGAGUCGAGAAGUGCCAACGAUCAAGAAAAGUUAUACAUCAAGAAAGUUGGUGUCUGGUGUUGUAGUGAUCUUGUAUUAAACUUUAGUCCCAGAAUUGUAGUACUACUACGGGAAAAUAUAGUGAAGUGAUUCUCUUUGAUGGA